GUGUUGUAUGAAAGGAGAGAAAAUUGGCACAACUCUUGACAAGGAUGAAAGAGGCCCUCAAGCCUGACAACACACAUACAGUUAAGGCAUUGCCACCUACUUCGUGGCAUCUGACCAUCCUUAAAA
ensembl:snRNA RNU6ATAC41P RNA, U6atac small nuclear 41, pseudogene